rnacentral:rRNA from 1 species
UACGGGGGGGGCAAGCGUUGUUCGGAAUUACUGGGCGUAAAGGGCUCGUAGGCGGCCAACUAAGUCGGAUGUGAAAUCCCCAAGCUUAACUUGGGAACUGCAUCCGAUACUGGAUGGCUUGAAUCCGGGAGAGGGAUGCAGAAUUCCAGGUGUAGCGGUGAAAUGCGUAGAUAUCUGGAGGAAUACCGGUGGCGAAGGCGGGUCUCUGGACAGUUCCUGACGCUGAGGCACGAAGGUCAGGGGAGCAAACGGG